rnacentral:rRNA from 1 species
UACAGAGGUCCCGAGCGUUGUUCGGAUUCACUGGGCGUAAAGGGCGCGUAGGCGGCACGGCAAGUCAGGAGUGAAAGCCCUGGGCUCAACCCGGGAACUGCUUUUGAAACUGCCGAGCUAGAGUGCGGAAGGGGCAACUGGAAUUCCCAGUGUAGCGGUGAAAUGCGUAGAUAUUGGGAAGAACACCUGAGGCGAAGGCGGGUUGCUGGGCCGACACUGACGCUGAGGCGCGAAAGCCAGGGGAGCGAACGGG